AUACUUACCUGGCAGGGGAUACACCUUAAUCACGAAGGAGGUUUUUCCAGGGUGAGGCUCAUCUAUUGCACUGUGGGUGUGCUGACCCCUGCGAUUUCCCCAAAUGCGGGAAACCCGACUGCAUUUAUUUAGCAUGAAAUUGCUGAUCUUCUCACUUUAAU